UUCGUAGACUCAGCAGCCGGCGAUGUGACUUCAAGGCCCCCUCGAGCUCUGCCUUCUUAAAAAAUAAAACGUAGACCUCUCCUUAGCCAUGUGGGUUAUGUGAGAGCAGCCUGAUGUGGUGCUGCUAUUCAUUCAUUCAUUAGUUCAUUCACUCAUCUGGGAUCGAGAGCAUGGUGUGCCAGGCACCUUAGCAGAGCAGAAGACAGAGCGAGAACCCGGCAGACACCGCCACUGCUCCUGUGGGAUCUGAGGUUUAGUGGGGACACAAGGAAUUGAGCACAUGGCACGGAAAGUGCCCUUAAACCAGCCCGGGAAGAUGAAGGCGAGCUUCCUGGAGGAAGAGGCACCUAAGCUGAUGACUGAAGGAAAACGAUGUCUGUAUGGGUCUCCCCGGUUUUGCCCACAACUGCAGGGUCCUAUGGAUGCCCAGUGGAGCCCACGGUGAGAACCUGAGGGUGAGGCUGAAGAGACCAUGC
rnacentral:lncRNA from 10 species